AGCUUCCGUCGUCGACCUCGGGACAUCGAAAACGUCCACAUCCUCCGUCCUUCGGUUCUCAUCGUCACCCGUGUGUAUGUCUCUUCACCCAGCUCGCAAACGAAUUGAACGCCAUUGUCCCGGUGUUCAUCCCGCGUUGCAUGCAUCAGGGGGGCCCGGCAAGACGACGUCAGGAGAGUGAUGCUAUGGGUGGUAAAUGACUUCAGCAAUCCACGCAGCGCAACCAACAGAUACAUGGAGGCAAAUGACGCAAAACUGUAACGAGCUACACGAGGUCCUAACAGUAUUUGCGAUGCUCGAGAGGCUGUCGCCGUUCCCCUCCCCUGAUCUUUCACGCUGUCGCCAACCGGCAGCCUCAUCGAUCAGAUCAGAUUGUGUGUCCUUGCGGCAGUCGUUCCGGUGCCCUUGUUCCGGCAUCCUGAUUCUUGCUGUGCGCAGCUAUUCUCUUCUCGGGGAAUGUCAUAGGGAAGAGCGUAUAAAUCAAUGGAGACAAAUACAAUAAGUUAAAUCACGAACCCUCCCAGCCUCAGUCGUGUCUUUGACCCCUCGCUACAGCGACCGUUAUCAAUGGGAAUCGCGCGCAGCAAGUCGCGUGCCUGGGACAAGAAUUUGCACACACUGUUGGGCAAGUGCUUGCGUUGUUAAAUGGCAAUCUCUCGCUGGCGUUCCUGUAGUGGGAUUACGGGCGAAAUUAUAUCUGGGGACGCAACACCUCGAAGGAAAGGUGCUGUCCACGCAGGCCCGGGAUGAGUCAUACGGGUACUUUCUCUACGCGACGAGAAGAUCCGGCGAUAUUUCCGCUUUCCCACUCCAGUCAAAUCACUGUUCUUUCCUCCUAACGCCUUAAUAGGCUUGUGGCUUUUCUUUGUCGUCAAAAGGGUCGAUAUUGCUGAGUCUUUUUUGCACGAGGAUCACCUUGAACAGGUGUACGUACACCUACCGAUGCAGAACCAAUGGUAGGGUUAAGGCCACGGGAGUUUUCACCAUCUUUUUUCCAUGUUGAGAGACACGGAGUUUCUUUCUUGGUUUCUCUGCGUUCACACCGGAAAUACAAGGACGCCAAGCGCCCCUGAUCGUCGUGCUGCACCCUCCGCGGUUCCCGUUCGUGAAGUCAACAUCAACGUUCCAGACGCCGUUACCUACUUCCGUUGCUUUCCAACGCUUGAUGACGUGUCUGGUUUCUUGCUUCCAGCGCGUGUUGUGGUUUUAGUCAAGCCCUGAUUUAGAGGGACACCUCUGUUCUUUUUUCUCUUCUUUGGUGACCCUUUCCGGUUAGUCACCUUUGUUGCUCUCUUUCUUACGUCUCGGACGCUGCACAAUCACAUUAAACAGUAAUCCUCCGUGAAUACGAUUGAGCGUCCUCUUCAUCAGCGGUGUCGUCGUUUUCGACUUCUCCACUGUAAUCAUAGAUCGUUUCCCUCAUGUCGCUUUAACAGAGAGAAAAGGUGCUGCACCCACGCUUGUAGAAAACUUGCGAGUUUAGGCGCCUUUUUUAUUCGUACAUUUGAAAACCACUUUCGAACUCCGAUUCGUUUCAUUGUUUCGUUUGCGACUUUGUCUUCGCUUCUGUCUCCUCUCUGGCGUAUUUUACUUAGCACAGAUAUCUUCUGAGGACCUCC
rnacentral:lncRNA from 1 species